ACAUACUCAAAAGAGAAGGAGUGUGGGGAGGUCGCAGAUUCUGUAGCCAAGACGGCUGGGAAAAGGACGGAGCGCCACGGACAGGGGACCCGCGGCCUAACCUCGGGGCUGACCCGCCGCGCUCCCUCGUCUCCUCCGCAGGUCCUCAGGCAGUGCGUCCAGUCAAGCCCGCUCGGCAGUUCCCGCCGCAGCCCCCGAGAUACAGCCAGGGCCGGCGCGCGCAGCCGGGGAGGAGGGUCGGGGAAUGAGGCCGCCGGGGGCGGGACGCCGGCUCCCGGGGCCGCCUCUCCCAGGGCCAGAGGCGAGCCACUCGGGACAACUUCCUCUUAUGCCCCUGGCCCGGGCCCUCGACUGGGUUCCCAGGAGCCGGCUGAGCUGAGGGACGACAGAGAGGAAAGCCAUUCAGCUCCAGGGUCCUGACAAAAAGUUGGUUGACCCUGUAGAUGUGAGCAGAACUCUCAAAGUCACAUCACCCAAGAGGAAAACUAGUGUUUCUGCUACUGCUUCAGUGAGCGCAACUAAUCUGAUCAGCAUGGUCCAGGGACAGUUGAGAGUUCUUGGGCAAGAGGGGAAUCUGCUGCUGCAUCGAUGGGAAACACUCAGGCUCACCCUUGAAAUGCAUCUUAAGCCAUUGGGACCAAUUUGACCCACAAACCCUGAAAAAGAAGCAGCUUAUUUUUUUCUGCACUGUGGCCUGGCCCCAAUAUUCUCUCUCUGAUGGGGAAAAAUGGCCACCUGAGGGAAGUAUAAAUUACAAUACUAUCCUGCAGCUUGACCUUUUCUGUAAGAGGGAAGGCAAAUGGAGUGAAAUACCUUAUGUCCAAGCUUUCUUUUCAUUGAAGAAUAAUCCACAACUAUGCAAAACUUGCAAUUUACAUUUCACAGGAGGACCUCUCAGCUUACCUCCAUAUCCUGGCCACCCUACAGCUCCCCUUCCUAUUAAUGAUAAGCCUCCUCUAAUCUCCCCUGCCCAGGAAGAAACAAGCAAAGAAAUCUCUAA
rnacentral:lncRNA from 1 species